AUCCUUUUGUAGUUCAUGAGCGCGACGAUUGGGUUUUCAUGCGCAUGCGUGAGAUGUGCCGCCCACGGAUCCUGUUCCGACGUCCGCACGGUACCCUUCUGACG